GACGAACGCUGGCGGCGUGCUUAACACAUGCAAGUCGAACGGAAAGGCCCUGCUUUUGUGGGGUGCUCGAGUGGCGAACGGGUGAGUAACACGUGAGUAACCUGCACUUGACUUUGGGAUAACUUCAGGAAACUGGGGCUAAUACCGGAUAGGAGCUCCUGCGGCAUGGUGGGGGUUGGAAAGUUUCGGCGGUUGGGGAUGGACUCGCGGCUUAUCAGCUUGUUGGUGGGGUAGUGGCUUACCAAGGCUUUGGCGGGUAGCCGGCCUGAGAGGGUGACGGGCCACAUUGGGACUGUGAUACGGCCCAGACUCCUACGGGAGGCAGCAGUGGGGAAUAUUGCACAAUGGGCGGAAGCCUGAUGCAGCAACGCCGCGUGCUGGAUGACGGCCUUCGGGUUGUAAACCGCUUUCGCCUGUGACGAAGCGUGAGUGACGGUAAUGGGUAAAGAAGCACCGGCUAACUACGUG
rnacentral:rRNA from 1 species